rnacentral:tRNA from 1 species
GGGCCGGUCGUCUAGACUGGUAGGAUGCGCCCUUGGCAUGGGUGAGAUCGUGGGUUCAAAUCCCAUCCGGUCCA